ACUCUCAAAGAUCAGAUGUUCUCUCUGGCCUCUGCAGGAACCAGCACUCCUAUUUACAUACCACAUACAUAUGCACACAUAUAUGCAUAAUAACAAAUAAGAAAACAGAUGUUAAAAAGAGUUAUACUUUUCAUCUUUCUAGAAUUACACUUCAGUUGUCAUAAUUUGUCCAGGAAUGAGAUAAUGGGAUGGAUUGUUUUGACCCAACCUCUGACAUCAGCCCAAUCAAAACAAGCAAACAAAACACCUCCAUCUCUUAGUAAUUGAAGACACUGAUUCUGAAGUAACUUCAAGUGAGAGUUGUUACUGGUAUUUUCACCCAUAUUUGCCUCCCUUCAAGAACAAACUAAGGACAUUUUGCACAAAGCAGGUUAGUAACAGAGUUUCUUGUUUUGAUUACUGUUUAAAUUAAUUCCUUGCUCUCUGUGACAAAGAUUUGGUUUCCCACAAACACACAAACAAAGAGAUUGUCAAAUAGAUACUUCAUUACAGGAUCUUGUAAGCAGCCAUGUCUUGGUGAGAAGAGUGUGGUAGAACACAGAAAAACCUCAGCCAUUUCCCCAGGACCUAGUAGCUGGAAGGCUUUUCUGAAUCUUACCUGUCAGGCAAACACUGGAUUGUUGUUUACCCAAGG